AUUGAACGCUGGCGGCAUGCCUUACACAUGCAAGUCGAACGGCAGCACGGGAGCAAUCCUGGUGGCGAGUGGCGAACGGGUGAGUAAUACAUCGGAACGUGCCCAGUAGUGGGGGAUAGCCCGGCGAAAGCCGGAUUAAUACCGCAUGAGACCUGAGGGUGAAAGCGGGGGAUCGCAAGACCUCGCGCUAUUGGAGCGGCCGACGUCAGAUUAGCUAGUUGGUAGGGUAAAGGCUCACCAAGCCGACGAUCUGUAGCUGGUCUGAGAGGACGCCCAGCCAAACUGGGACUGAGACACGGCCCAGACUCCUACGGGAGGCAGCAGUGGGGAAUUUUGGACAAUGGACGCAAGUCUGAUCCAGCCAUGCCGCGUGCGGGAAGAAGGCCUUCGGGUUGUAAACCGCUUUUGUCAGGGAAGAAACGCUCUGGGUUAACACCUCGGGGUAAUGACGGUACCUGAAGAAUAAGCACCGGCUAACUACGUGCCAGCAGCCGCCGUAAUAC
rnacentral:rRNA from 1 species